UAGGGAAUCUUCCGCAAUGGACGAAAGUCUGACGGAGCAACGCCGCGUGAGCGAAGAAGGUCUUCGGAUCGUAAAGCUCUGUUGUCAGGGAAGAACAAGUACCGUUCGAACAGGGCGGUACCUUGACGGUACCUGACGAGGAAGCCACGGCUAACUACGUGCCAGCAGCCGCGGUAAUACGUAGGUGGCAAGCGUUGUCCGGAAUUAUUGGGCGUAAAGCGCGCGCAGGCGGUUCCUUAAGUCUGAUGUGAAAUCUCGCGGCUCAACCGCGAGCGGCCAUUGGAAACUGGGGAACUUGAGUGCAGGAGAGGGGAGCGGAAUUCCACGUGUAGCGGUGAAAUGCGUAGAGAUGUGGAGGAACACCAGUGGCGAAGGCGGCUCUCUGGCCUGUAACUGACGCUGAGGCGCGAAAGCGUGGGGAGCGAACA
rnacentral:rRNA from 1 species